CCCAGUGUGUACACAUUACCCAUAAUACCCAGUAUACACACAUUACCCAUAAUACCCAGUAUAUACACAUUACCCAUAAUACCCCAGUGUAUACACAUUACCCAUAAUACCCAGUGUAUACACAUUACCCAUAAUACCCAGUAUAUACACAUUACCCAUAAUACCCCAGUGUAUACACAUUACCCAUAAUACCCCAGUAUGUACACAUUACCCAUAAUACCCCAGUGUGUAUACAUUACCCAUAAUACCCCUGUGUAUAUACACAUUACCCUUUAAUACCCAGUAUGUACACAUUACCCAUAAUACCCCAGUGUGUACACAUUACCCAUAAUACCCCAGUAUGUACACAUUACCCAUAAUACCCCAGUAUGUACACAUUACCCAUAAUACCCCAGUAUACACACACACAAUUACCCAUAAUACCCCAGUGUAUACACAUUACCCAUAAUACACCAGUGUAUACACAUUACCCAUAAUACCCAGUAUAUACACAUUACCCAUAAUACCCCAGUGUGUACACAUUACCCAUAAUACCCAGUAUGUACACAUUACCCAUAAUACCCCAGUAUAUACACAUUACCCAUAAUACCCCAGUAUAUACACAUUACCCAUAAUACCCAGUACACACACAUUACCCAUAAUACCCAGUACACACACAUUACCCAUAAUACCCCAGUGUGUACACAUUACCCAUAAUACCCAGUGUAUACACAUUACCCAUAAUACCCAGUACACACACAUUACCCAUAAUACCCCAGUGUGUACACAUUACCCAUAAUACCCCAGUGUGUACACAUUACCCAUAAUACCCCAGUAUACACACAUUACCCAUAAUACCCCAGUGUGUACACAUUACCCAUAAUACCCCAGUGUGUACACACAUUACCCAUAAUACCCCAGUGUGUACACAUUACCCAUAAUACCCCAGUAUACACACAUUACCCAUAAUACCCAGUGUGUACACACAUUACCCAUAAUACCCAGUGUGUAUAUACACAUUACCCAUAAUACCCAGUGUGUACACAUUACCCAUAAUACCCAGUAUACACACAUUACCCAUAAUACCCAGUAUGUACACAUUACCCAUAAUACCCAGUAUAUACACAUUACCCAUAAUACCCCAGUGUAUACACAUUACCCAUAAUACCCAGUAUAUACACAUUACCCAUAAUACCCCAGUGUAUACACAUUAC